rnacentral:rRNA from 1 species
UACGGGGGGAGCAAGCGUUGUUCGGAAUUACUGGGCGUAAAGGGCUCGUAGGCGGCCAACUAAGUCAGACGUGAAAUCCCUCGGCUUAACCGGGGAACUGCAUCCGAUACUGGAUGGCUUGAGUUCGGGAGAGGGAUGCGGAAUUCCAGGUGUAGCGGUGAAAUGCGUAGAUAUCUGGAGGAACACCGGUGGCGAAGGCGGCAUCCUGGACCGACACUGACGCUGAGGAGCGAAAGCGUGGGGAGCAAACAGG